rnacentral:rRNA from 1 species
AUGGAAGGCGGCGGCGACUUCACCUUCGCCGUGGCCGCGUCUCUGGCAGGCGCCGGCGGCCGACGCGUAGGCGCCGGUCUGCUGUACCCGGUCUUCGGCCAGCCGCGGUCACCGCCGCGCCAGCGGGCUCUGGAGACGGAGACGACGACGGCCACCGCGCGCGUGCCGCUCAGGGAGCUUCUGCUCGUGGACGCGUUACGAGCAGGAGCGGAGCAGCAGCCGGACGGCGGGGACAAGCGGCCGGUAAAGACGUGCUACUGUUCGUGCUGCCCCGGUUCACCGUCGACAGCGUCGUCCCCGGCGCGCUGCCGGAAGAGCGGCUCCACGGGGUCUGUCCUCCGGUGGAGCCAACGGCUCCUCGGUCGGAGCCACAGCGGCGGCAAGGAGAAUUUCGUCUUCCUGGACGCCAGCCCUUCCAACUCCAGCUCCAAGCGCAAGGGGGUCAGGAGCGGCGGCGUCGGCGGCCACGCGCACGUCUGGAGCUCUUACGCGCACAAGGGCGGUGGCAAUGACGGCCGCCGGAGGUCGUUCCUCCCGUACAGACAAGACCUCGUCGGGCUCUUCGCGAGCGCCACCGCGUUCCGGCGGACCUACCAUCCGUUCUGA